CAAGGCUCAACCUAGGAUAAAUAAAAUAAACAUUCAUCCUAGAAAUAACCAUCCUAGAAUAAAUAUGCAUCCUAGACCAAACACUAGAAGAAACUUCGAACAUUUUAGAACGCCUAGAAAUGGCCUUCAACAAUCGCAACCUAGACAUACUCGACCUAGAAACAAUUAUUCUAGAAACGCUGCAUAUCCUAGAACANNN
rnacentral:lncRNA from 1 species